rnacentral:rRNA from 1 species
GACGAACCGUGCGAACGUUAUUCGGAAUCACUGGGCUUAAAGCGCGUGUAGGCGGCCCGGCACGUCCGUCGCUGAAAUCCCCCGGCUCAACCGGGGAAGGGGCGUGGAUACGGCCGGGCUGGAGGGGGUAGGGGGAGCCGGAACUUCCGGUGGAGCGGUGAAAUGCGUUGAGAUCGGAAGGAACGCCCGUGGCGAAAGCGGGCUCCUGGACCCACCUGACGCUGAGACGCGAAAGCCAGGGAGCGAACGGG